rnacentral:miRNA from 1 species
UCACUGUGCAGCUCAGGCUGGCCUUGAGCUCACUUUGUAGACCGGGCUGGUCUUGAACUCACAACAAUCAUUCCUGCUUCAGCCACCCGAGUGCUGGCAUUACAGGCAUGCCCUACCAUGCCC